rnacentral:snRNA from 1 species
CUGCUGGCUUUGACAGCAUAUAUACUAAAAUAGGAAGAUACAGAGAAGAUUAGCAUGGCCUCUGCACAAGAAAUUAAAAAAAGAAAAGAAACUAAACCCUUC